CAACCCUUUGGCCGUGGUGCCUCCUUGCGCUCACAGGAAGUGUUGAUUUCAUCCUCCCUACAGCACAGCCGUUCUGUGACGGAUGCUGCUGUUGCCGGUAUAUUCAUGGAACGAGGAGCCAGGUCGUCGAGCGCACGGCGCCUCCAGCUGCUUUGUCAUGGGCAGAGCGUUCAGCUUGAUGUUGGGGCAAGUUCCAUGCUGGGUAGAUUCCUCUCUUUUCUUAUUUGGUUCAUGCUAGGCUGGUUCAGUUUGUACAUGUUUCCUGUACGUGCAUGCUAUGUGUUCAACCAAAUGCUUAUUAGCAAUAUUGUAAGUACAGAUUUGGAGAACUGAACAAAAUGCAUUGGAUAAAUCAGUUUUAUGUUGAUUUUGGAGAUGGAGUUUCUGAUGACAAAUUAUUUGAUCGGGUACAUCAUCUCUCAAACACUGAAAAAUCUACAUGUAAUUGAAUUCUAGGAUCUUCUCCAAGCAUAUGUGGUUUGUUAGCCUAAAUAUCAAGUAACACUUGACAAGGAGUGAUUCUUUUAUAAUAUUUGUCAUGGCGAGCACACAGGUCUUCAAUUGAUGAUUUCAUAAUAUUUGGCUAGGUUUAUCUGAGGGUUGAAGAAGAUGGUUAUAUAAGAUAUCCUCCUAGACCCUUCAUGUUCCAGUACUGACAGUGCAUGCUGUGAUUUUUUGUUUCGGAUGAAAGCUACAGAGAGGUAUAGAAGUGAUUCCACGUUUUAGACGAUUGUUUGACUAUCUACUGUAUAUGCAGUACCCUAAGCAACUAGAUCUCCAUCUUUGGGGAUGCCCAGACCCACUACUCCGGUGGCUAUAACGAUGUCUUCAUUUUGUUCAAAGGUAACGUCUGAAUGGAGAAGGGGGUAUUUUGUCAGUCACAAUUUGCUUCUCAUUUUUCAACCAAUUGGGUUCAUGAGAGUAAAGCUCAACAAGGAGUGUAUUAGGUCCAUAGCAUUACUGUAAUAGAAACAAGAGAGUACAAGCUUACAAGAAUAUGGAGGAAAUUCUGUUCAUCUCCUCAGAGAAAUAAUUUGUUCUUUCAUGAGCUUAUCCAUUCAUGUAUUUGUAUUUGUAUUUUAUUGAAAGUUCGACGAGGCUUACUCUCCAAUUUAGUUUUCUCAUUUUUGCAAACCAUUAUCUGAAAUAGUCAGCUGCUACAAUUAGAUUGUAUAUCAGUCAACCUAGGUAGUUCAGCCACUGUGGGUGUCGUCUUUGCCUGCUGCAUAUGGUUCUGAGGUUUCUGAUCCCGCUCAUUCUGAUGCUCCUGCUGUGCUCGAUCCUACCGUACCAGUUGAUCCGUUGUUUCACAGUUUGUGCAUUUUCUGCUUUUGAUGUACCUGUUUUACUGUUAUUCGCCAUGUACUUACUACUUUUUGUUUUUGGUUUCAGUAUGUGCUACUCCUUUCACGACUUCUCACUGGAUUGCUAAUCAUCAACGGCGUUUGGAUGUGGGUUUACAUUCUGCUUUUGUAGGAGCAGGUUGUGCUUCCUAUUUAUUGAUUAUAGAACCCAAACUUUGCUGCAAAAAAACUAAGAAGAAUAGCAGAAAGUUGAGCUCUAGGAUGUGAUACAACUACACUUUGGGACUAUGUACACACAAAUAUACUAUGUUCUAGAUCAUAGCUUAACUAGAUAUAACCACCGUAACACACCAUUGUUGAUUUG